rnacentral:tRNA from 1 species
GGAUAGAUGGCCGAGCGGCUUAAGGUAUUGCUUUGAUAAAUCAACUUACGAUAAUGUCGUAACGCCGGUUCGAAUCCCGUUCCUCCCG